UGUGAACGUUACCAAACUGUUGCCUCGGCGGGAUCUCUGCCCCGGGUGCGUCGCAGCCCCGGACCAAGGCGCCCGCCGGAGGACCAACCAAAACUCUUUUUGUAUACCCCCUCGCGGGUUUUUUAUAAUCUGAGCCUUCUCGGCGCCUCUCGUAGGCGUUUCGAAAAUGAAUCAAAACUUUCAACAACGGAUCUCUUGGUUCUGGCAUCGAUGAAGAACGCAGCGAAAUGCGAUAAGUAAUGUGAAUUGCAGAAUUCAGUGAAUCAUCGAAUCUUUGAACGCACAUUGCGCCCGCCAGUAUUCUGGCGGGCAUGCCUGUCCGAGCGUCAUUUCAACCCUCGAACCCCUCCGGGGGGUCGGCGUUGGGGAUCGGCCCUGCCUUUGGCGGUGGCCGUCUCCGAAAUACAGUGGCGGUCUCGCCGCAGCCUCUCCUGCGCAGUAGUUUGCACACUCGCAUCGGGAGCGCGGCGCGUCCACAGCCGUUAAACACCCAACUUCUGAAAUGUUGACCUCGGAUCAGGUAGGAAUACCCGCUGAACUUAAGCAUAUCA
rnacentral:rRNA from 1 species